GCUGUCAGGAAGGGGCUUUGAGGACAGCGGCGUGCUCCGUGCCCAGGUGCCCCCAGCCGUCCCCGCCCAGCGCCGGCGGCCUGGGCGACAUCACCGCGUGGGGCACACCCCCCUGCCAAGUUUGGGGUCCCACAAAUCUCCCUAAUCUCCAAGCCUUACUGAUCCAGCCCGUGAUAGAUGCUCAAUACGCAGCCGUGGCAUUAACCUGCACGUGACCUUGUUGGUUAGAAUUUAAACUCGGUUUUGAGAGAAGUUCAGAGUCAUCGGAGGUUUUUGAUGUUGACGGGGACGGAAAAAUUUGAAAACCAGCUGGGUGGAUGAGGAUGUGGGAAGAAAGAGGCACCCUCCUAUGGCAUAGGAGGGAGGGUGACAAGGAAUGACCUCUAAGAGUGCACUUUGACAGCAGCCGUCAAAGUGACAAGUGCACACACCCCGUGACAGAGAAAUUCCACGUCCAGGAAGCCAUCCCACAGAGAAAUUCAAACCUGGACACAAUGCCGCGUGCCCAGGGCUAUUCAUUACCGCAUUGUUUGUAAUGGCAGAACGUUGGCCCAAACCCAAGCAUCCAUCAGCGGGAGACCGGUUAAAUCAAUCACAGUUCCCCACACAAUGGAAUACUAUGCAGCCAGAAAAGAAGAAUGAGGAGACUCUUUCUGUAAUGACUAUUGUUAAGCGAAGAAAGCAAGGUGCAAUCAUUUGUACCGAAGCGUGGGGAGUGGGGAGAGAGAUAGAGCAACGUGAUCUCUUUGAACCACGGACACAGAAGAAACUGAGGACGUUGCUUGGGUCCAGCAAGGGGACUGGGUGACUGGGGGACAGCACAGCAGGGAGGUUUCACUGUCCGACUUUUAGGUUUUUAUAUAUACAAUAAGUAUAGGCUUUACCUAUUCAACAAAUGCAUAAAGUGCACAUUUUUUAAAA